AUGCCACAAUUCCUACCUACAGCUAGUAACCCUACUCCUCCUAUGCCACUGCAACAAGCGUCAUCGUCCGCUAUGGAUGAUGGUCUAGCUAAUCUUAGAGAGGAGAUGGCUAAGAUGCUUCGAGAGAAUUUUGGAGUUGAGUUACCUCGGAAUCGGAUUUACCAAAAGUCAUACCCCGAGUACUUUGAUGCCAUCCAGUGCCCUCCAGGAUAUAAAAUUCCAGAUUUUGUUAAAUUUAAUGGAGAAGGCAUAAAAACCACAUGGGAGCAUGUUAGUCAAUAUUUAGCACAAUUGGGUGAGGCAGGCUCAUUGAACGAAUUGAAAGUGCGUUUAUUUCCUUUAUCAUUAACUGGUACCGCAUUUUCAUGGUUUUCUUCUUUACCCCAUGGUUCCAUUCGGGUUUGGUCGCAGCUAGAGCAGAAGUUUCAUGAUCACUUUUAUAGCGGCGACAAUGAACUCAAGUUGUCACAUCUAACAUCGGUUAAGCAGAAGCAUGAUGAAUCGGUCUCCGAUUAUGUCAAGAGAUUUAGAGAAACAAAAAACCGGUGUUUUAGUUUGGUGAUAACCGAGAGAGACUUGGCAGACCUAGUGCUGAGUGGUUUGAGAACUCCAAUCAGAGAAAAGCUAGAAGGCUAUGAGUUCUUAAAUAUCAACCAAGUCUUACAAAGGGCUUUGGCUCAGGAAAGCCGAAGCAAAGACCUCAAAGAAGUGCAUAGAUACAAAGCCGAUCGUCCAAAGAUGAAUAUGAUCGAAUAUGAUGGUGAUCACUCGGACGAUGAGGGUGAUGUUUUUUCUACUGAAUUUGUUUGGCCAUCUAAGGACAAACCAUUUACUUGCAAUGAUCUGAAACCGAUUCAUAAGAAUCGUGAUGAAGAGAUGAAGUUUACUUUUAACGUUGCCAAGUGUGAUAAAAUAUUUGAUGCUUUGCUGCAAGCUAAAAUUAUUAGAAUAACUCAUACUUUGCCGCCGUUUGAAGAGCUGAAACGGCGCACUUAUUGCAAGUAUCAUAAUUCUUUUUCUCAUGCUACUAACGAUUGCAAUGUUUUUCGACGACAGAUACAAUCGGCCAUUAAUGACGGACGAUUGAACUUUUCUGAAAUGCAAGUUGAUAAACAGCCUUUUCCAAUGAAUACCAUGGAUUUGGAGGGGAAGAAGCUACUCAUUCGGCCGGAGGUAGCCGAAUCUGCUAAUAAAGCUAAUGUCAUUGUCGGUGAGCCCAGGAAAGACAAGGAGGACAACAAGGUCUUGGGGAGACAGGUUGUGCUUGAUAAGCAACCCGAUGGCAAGGAAGUGAUCAAAAUCACCAUCAAGAAUCCUACACUCGGGGGGCAACCGCAAGUGCAAGAAAAUACUCGUGUUAAAUUUGUCAAGCCCAAGAGUCCAGAAGUUGGCAAGUGGAAGAAGAAUGAAGCUAAAGUGCAGCGCAAGCGGAUCAAGCCAACUUUUGAUAUAUUGCUGUCCAAGUAUGCUAACCAGUCGGCCGGUUCUAGUUUCAAUCGACCGACUCAUCUGAAACGACCAAGGUCACCAUCAGCUGAUAUGUUCAGUCGGUAUACAAAACCGAGUGGACCAAGGGCGCAGUUUUCAGAAGAGCAGAGGCAAUCUGUGUGGGAUCGACUUGAUUACUCAUAUAAUGGUCGACUCAACAUCGGUGACUAUCAGUCGGCUGGUCAAAAUAUGCGACCGAGUGGAAAUUUCAUGCAUCUGGAAAGUCGAAAAGAAUGGCGUGUUAAGUCACCAAGUGUUGCAGCAGUUGAGUCGGGAAAAAGCAAGGAGAAAACGGAUGCCGACUCACUUAUCUUGGGCACCAAAACAUUUGCCAUACAGCAGCCAAUUGUGCAUAGCAAACCGACUGAGCCGAUACUUUCUAUCGCGCCAAAGCACUCGGCUAAUGACCAUGAAGCAAGCACCAGCCGAGUAAAAACGAGAGAUCCUAAAUACACUCAGCCAAAGUGGUGUCCUCCAGGGCUAACAAAGACACAGAAGAGGAAACUACAGAGGUUAAGGAGCCAAGAGAUGGCAGAACAAGAGGCUGAGAAGCAAAGGGAUAAGUUGUUCAAUGACACUCGGCCUAUGGUACCCACAAAAAAAGUGUGGAGGCCCAAACAAAUACGAGAUACAGUGGCCUCUACGCCUAUCACAGCAGCACCUACACUACCAAAAAAGGACGACGCAAUCAUUGCAUCGUCUACGUUACCUAUUGCUUCCUCUUCACUCGGACAAAUUUCUGAAUCGGUGGAUGCACUUGAGGAGGAGGCUGAUAUGUUGGACUAUGAGUCUACACCGGUUCAUGGAGGUAUGGAUAUCAAUAUGGUGUAUUACUUACCUGCUGAGUUUCGUGCUGUAGAUGAGGAAGGGGAGGUGGCUCAGCUGGAUUUUGGCCCUAAAAACGCGAUAUUCGAGAAGCCAAAAGAACCAGUAACGCAUCUGAAACCAUUAUAUCUCAGAGGUCAUAUCAAUGGGUCGCCCCUCACUCGGAUGCUUGUUGAUGGUGGUGCUGUGGUAAAUCUUAUGCCCUAUUCGGUCUUCAAGAAAUUGGGUUUGCCUGAUGAAGAAUUGAUCAAGACCAAUAUGGUGCUUAACGGGUUUGAAGGCAAAGAGAAAACUAAAGCCAAAGGUGUGAUGUAUGUGGAGCUUACAGUCGGAAGCAAAACUUUGGCUACUGCAUUCUUUGUCGCUGAGGUGCAAGGUAACUACAACGUCAUACUAGGCCGUGAUUUGGUUCAUGCAAACCAGUGCGUACCAUCCACUAUGCACCAGUUUUUGAUUCAGUGGGUUGAUGAUGAAGUGGAAGUCAUUCAUGCGGAUAACUCGGCCUAUGUUGCUUUGGCCGAUGCGUCGGUGGAUUGGCAACAUCCCAAUGCUACUUGCUUGACGGGACGUGACUUAUCAGAGUUUGAUUUUCUCAGCGCAACCAAGAAUGGUUUUGUGCCCGUCUCUUUAAAGCCGACUGAAUGCAAUCGGCUCCAAGGUAUGAUAUGUUUAAAUGGAUUCUAG
rnacentral:rRNA from 1 species